UACAAGAAGAGGUUGCAAAGCUAGUGUUUGUAAUAUAAAUCAUGUCAAUUUGCUUGUUGAAUGUCUUCAAUCAUUAAUUUUAUAAAUUUUCAUUCCAUGAUCGACGUUCUAUAAAAUCCAAAAUUUCCAAGUCUCAGCCCUUAAUUGCGUAGUAUGUUAGUGAUUUUUUGCACCAAAUUUUUCGUUUCGCCACAAAGCUUUCCCAAUGCAUCUCUCCGAAAAGCGGUUCCCACUAAAAAGAUCGACCCGCAUGCACUCGAGGCAUCGAACAUGCAAAGCCUGUUAAACUUGACUCACGCCUUGUGCAUUCAUUUCCUCAACAUACUUUGGCUUGCUCCCACCCACAAAUCAUCCACUAUUAUGGUUGAUUUGAAUUGAUCAUUGAACAGACCAAAAUACACAACACAAACCGCUCUGCGAAAAGCGCUUCGUUUUCUUUUGUUUAGCUUCUAAAAUUAGUUUUAACAGCUCCAUUCGACGACGGAGCGGUUCACACAUGUGUCUUGUCUUCCUCACUUUUCAAACUGCGAUAGGAAAAAUCAGCGAAAAAGGAAUGCUUUAGUUGGUCUUCUUGGCGUUUAGGUCUAAAAUGCACUACGUUGUCGGAGAAAAAAAGCAGAACCAACGCAGAUGAUCGCAUUUCGUGACUUGUUGCACCAACAGAAAAGGAAAAUUCGAUCCCAACCAUCACAAACCCUUGGGAAAUCGAAGGGAAACUAGCUCAUAGAUCAAGUGUGAGUGUGUGCUCUUCUUCACUGCCGUUGUCGGUCGUCGUUGCGAGACCAAAGUGCAAUGCUACUAUGGCAACUGCCAUUAUUCACGAUGGGUUUCACUUUCGUUGCUGCUGUUCGUGAGUGUAAAUCGUGCACGGGACAAGUGUAGCUCGUGAAUUCUGAACCGUGCUUACCGGAAAACAGAUCAAUAAAAUUUCCUGCUUGCUGAACAUGUGGAAUCGUCACGAAAGACGAGUUCAAUUUUUGGUUUGAUGCUUCAAACAAGUGCUUCAAUAGCUUGAAAGUGUGGCUUACGCUUCUAAUAUUUGCAAUUUAAGUUGUCUUAUGUAAACUUUGUUCACCAUGAGUAGUAGACAAUAUUACGACAACAAUGUUAGCAGUCUAAUAAAUAAGUUCGAGGUACGAAACUAUCCUAAAAAUAGAAGAAUGGCAGCGCCAGAGCCAGACGAAGAAGUGUACGUACGAAGACGCAGGGAGUAUCCCAUUCCUUCGUCCGCAGACGGUCGGGAACGUCACGUUUACCUGAACGACUCAGCUGUUUUCUACGAUAGUGUUGAAAAUAUACCGGUGAAUGUUAGAUUUCCCAAUCGCUACAGCUACAACGAAUCACUUUCGUCGUUGAACGAAUCAGACUACGGUGGUGGUCGGUACGAUUCGACGGUGGAGGAGUAUCAGGAUGAUCCGGUCCCGAUCAGUAAAGAACAGGUGGCCUCCUCAUUAUCGCGAUUCGGGGUCAUUCUACAGAUGCUGUCGAAAAUUCCAUUUCCACGAAUGUCCGUCACCGGGAUGGGCCUCUGCUCGCUUGUCGCAAUCUUCAUCUGCCCAAGAACGCUCGGUGCCAAUAUUCUGUUUCCCGGUUUCAGAUUAUUGUUCGGCACGCUCUAUCCCGCCUAUGCAUCAUACAAAGCAGUCAGGACUAAAAAUGUCAAAGAAUAUGUCAAAUGGAUGAUGUAUUGGAUAGUUUUUGCGUUCUUCACCUGCAUCGAAACGUUCACCGACAUUCUGCUGUCGUGGUUCCCGUUCUACUAUGAAAUCAAAGUCAUCAUCGUACUUUGGCUACUCUCGCCGGCUACAAGGGGCAGUUCGACGCUCUAUCGAAAAUUUGUGCAUCCGAUGCUGACGCGACGAGAACAGGAAAUCGAUGACUACAUCAACCAAGCCAAAGAGAAAGGCUAUACGGCUGUGCUGCAGUUAGGAUCCAAGGGUGUAAACUAUGCCACUAAUGUUAUCAUGCAAACUGCAAUCAAGGGUGGUGGCGGUUUGGUGCAAACGCUGCGCAAAAGCUACAGCCUGAGCGACCUCUCGGAACCGGAUACACAUCGCACCCAGGAGGAAAUUGACGAACUGACCCGGUCCCAGAGGGUGCUGCGCUCCAAGAGUGCCCGGUCCUCUUCCGGUGGUCGCCACGUAGAAAUGUAUUUCCCCGAGGUGGAGAUAGCUGGGACACCACACCACAAUCCACCACCGCCGUAUAACUAUAUUCGAUCCUCCGACGACAUCAGUUCAGGAUAUUCGAGUGCAGAGCCAGGAUUGAGUCGAACGGCUUCGAUGAGCAAUACCGUUAGGCCACGUGUGAAAUCUAAAACACGGGAGGAUGACGAUGAUGUAUUCUAUGAUGGCAGAGAUACAGACCGAUACUAUGGCAGUGGUUCUCAAUUCAUUCCCUCUUCCGCUACGCUCUAUGAAAUUCCUCCAAGCCCUCUCCCGGCUAUAACCCAGGCUAGUCAUUUUCCCGAGCCUAAAAGCCUUCCAAUAUACUCCUCUCAUUCCAACGCAGUUUCUAAACCCACACAAAGUCUCCCACCGAAAUACGAACUAUUUCUACAAUGGAUGGAGUCUCAAAAACAAGCUCAUCCUGUAGAAAUCGAAGAAAAGCCCAGAAAUGUAGAUUUGAAAAUUGACCACCCUGAUACUGUCGAGAAACCGCAACCAAAGAUGGGAGCUUCCUCUGUUGAUGUUCCUUUUUUAGACAAAGUUGAAUCCAAUGAGCAGGAAGACUUUCGGAUAGAGGCACCGAUGUUGACUCCAUUGCCGGAAAACGAACAAUCGGAGAUGAGUUUCUCCGAGGAUAUGUUCCGAGAUACAGUUUCCUUAUCUAGUGAAGAUGAGUUCCUUGAAGUGGAACCGGACGAAAGUAUUUCAGAAACUGCAAUUGAGUCUUCCAAUGACGUGCCUCUAGUUAUCGAAGAAUCUCAGAUAAUGGACGAUGCUGACAAGGACAAGCCUGGAGAUCCACAAAGUUCAAACAUAGUUCAAGAUCUUUCAAUGAAUCCUGAUGAAUGUGGGCGUCCAAUCGUUAUUGAUACCGUGGAAGAACUGGUCAUUCAAGAGAUUCAAACCCAUGAAUCUACUGGUGCUGUUGAUUACUCAGCUUCUUUUCCACAUCAAGACGACAAACUUCAUAUCUCAGAAGAAGACAUAGUUACUUAUGUUCCCACUAUACCAGAAUCAUCCACGAAGUCAGAACCCAUUUCAAUGGAAAACCCUCAAACAGCAAUCGAAUCAACUAACCAGCUAAACAUCUCAAUAUCAAAUCUAACAUCAUCAACGUCGUCGUUAGCUCUCUCAGAAGCCAGCAGUCAAAUGGAUGAUGCUGCCCACAAGAAGUCAGCAUCUCAUGGAAAACGAAAAGCUCCGUCAAUUCCGACUUCAAUCAAGCAAGAGCCAAUAGCUCCUAAGCUAGAAGUACCAGCUGUCCAAAAACCUCCCGAACGAAUUCAUAAACCCCUCGUAGUUGCAUCAGUUUCAGUAGAACCCAAGAAAUCUGUAGUUCCAGAGGUUGCACGGGAUAAGGACAAGGAUAAGAAACCGAAAUCGAAGAAGCUGAUGAGUUCCAUCAGCGGUAUGUUCAAACAUGAUAGCCCAUCCACAUCGGGGGCUUCCGGUUCAAGUGUAUCGACACGUGCCAAAGCUUCUCUUCAUCCGAGGGAGACUGAGAUUUGAUUUUAUUUUAUCAUGUUCCCCUCGGGUCUUCCUAUGUUUACUUUCAUUUUGAGAACCACUGCUCAUCACUCACUUGUGCGUUUGACGAUCGACAGAAUUCACUUUAUGGCUCGUGUUUUCUUUAGUUGAUAAAAUGUCCGCAAGCUGCACCACAUUACCUCGUUCGAAAAAGACGGAAAAAGUUAUAAAAACGCGUUCGAAGACGGAAAAGUA